GGCGAACGCUGGCGGCGUGCUUAACACAUGCAAGUCGAACGGAAAGGCCCUGCUUUUGUGGGGUGCUCGAGUGGCGAACGGGUGAGUAACACGUGAGUAACCUGCCCUUGACUUUGGGAUAGCUUCAGGAAACUGGGGCUAAUACCGGAUAGGAGCUCCUGCUGCAUGGUGGGGGUUGGAAAGUUUCGGCGGUUGGGGAUGGACUCGCGGCUUAUCAGCUUGUUGGUGGGGUAGUGGCUUACCAAGGCUUUGACGGGUAGCCGGCCUGAGAGGGUGACCGGCCACAUUGGGACUGAGAUACGGCCCAGACUCCUACGGGAGGCAGCAGUGGGGAAUAUUGCACAAUGGGCGGAAGCCUGAUGCAGCAACGCCGCGUGCGGGAUGACGGCCUUCGGGUUGUAAACCGCUUUCGCCUGUGACGAAGCGUGAGUGACGGUAAUGGGUAAAGAAGCACCGGCUAACUACGUG
rnacentral:rRNA from 1 species